UUAUUCAUCUCUGGAGAGCGGUCUUGUUCGAUCAAGACCCACCGAAGGGGAAAGACUUUAUCGCACGGCAAUGCCAUCUCUGGUUAUCGCAAUCAGGGGAUGGGAAUGCCGGUCGAGCGGGUCGAGAUCUCUCAGGUAAAGGGACAGAGGGGCCAGC
rnacentral:ncRNA from 2 species